AGGGUUUGAUUCUGGCUCAGGACGAACGCUGGCGGCGUGCCUAACACAUGCAAGUCGAACGGAGUCGGCCCCGCAAGGGACUGACUUAGUGGCGAACGGGUGAGUAACGCGUGAGCAACCUGCCUUUCAGUGGGGGACAACAGUUGGAAACGACUGCUAAUACCGCAUAAUGCAUUUUGACCGCAUGAUCGAGAUGCCAAAGAUUUAUUGCUGAAAGAUGGGCUCGCGUCUGAUUAGAUAGUUGGUGGGGUAACGGCCCACCAAGUCGACGAUCAGUAGCCGGACUGAGAGGUUGAACGGCCACAUUGGGACUGAGAUACGGCCCAG
rnacentral:rRNA from 1 species